AGCUAUUUGCCAGUCUGGUUUUAGGUU
rnacentral:piRNA from 1 species